GACGUUGGGAAAGCGAGCGGCGGAUGGGUGAGUAACACGUGGGGAACCUGCCCCUAAGUCUGGGAUACCAUUUGGAAACAGGUGCUAAUACCGGAUAAUAAAGCAGAUCGCAUGAUCAGCUUUUGAAAGGCGGCGUAAGCUGUCGCUAAGGGAUGGCCCCGCGGUGCAUUAGCUAGUUGGUAAGGUAACGGCUUACCAAGGCGACGAUGCAUAGCCGAGUUGAGAGACUGAUCGGCCACAUUGGGACUGAGACACGGCCCAAACUCCUACGGGAGGCAGCAGUAGGGAAUCUUCCACAAUGGACGCAAGUCUGAUGGAGCAACGCCGCGUGAGUGAAGAAGGUUUUCGGAUCGUAAAGCUCUGUUGUUGGUGAAGAAGGAUAGAGGUAGUAACUGGCCUUUAUUUGACGGUAAUCAACCAGAAAGUCACGGCUAACUACGUGCCAGCAGCCGCGGUAAUACGUAGGUGGCAAGCGUUGUCCGGAUUUAUUGGGCGUAAAGCGAGCGCAGGCGGAAAAAUAAGUCUAAUGUGAAAGCCCUCGGCUUAACCGAGGAACUGCAUCGGAAACUGUUUUUCUUGAGUGCAGAAGAGGAGAGUGGAACUCCAUGUGUAGCGGUGGAAUGCGUAGAUAUAUGGAAGAACACCAGUGGCGAAGGCGGCUCUCUGGUCUGCAACUGACGCUGAGGCUCGAAAGCAUGGGUAGCGAACAGGAUUAGAUACCCUGGUAGUCCAUGCCGUAAACGAUGAGUGCUAAGUGUUGGGAGGUUUCCGCCUCUCAGUGCUGCAGCUAACGCAUUAAGCACUCCGCCUGGGGAGUACGACCGCAAGGUUGAAACUCAAAGGAAUUGACGGGGGCCCCGCACAAGCGGGUGGAGCAUGUGGUUUUAAUUCGAA
rnacentral:rRNA from 1 species